UGCUCUUCGCCUUAUUGCCUUGAUGGUCUCU
rnacentral:piRNA from 1 species